rnacentral:rRNA from 1 species
CCAUCAUGGCAGUGGAAACUGUUGGGCUUGAGUGUGGUAGGGGCAGAGGGAAUUCCCGGUGUAGCGGUGAAAUGCGUAGAUAUCGGGAAGAACACCAGUGGCGAAGGCGCUCUGCUGGGCCAUCACUGACGCUCAUGGACGAAAGCCAGGGGAGCGAAAGGGAUUAGAUACCCCUGUAGUCCUGGCCGUAAACGAUGAACACUAGGUGUCGGGGGAAUCGACCCCCUCGGUGUCGUAGCCAACGCGUUAAGUGUUCCGCCUGGGGAGUACGCACGCAAGUGUGAAACUCAAAGGAAUUGACGGGGGCCCGCACAAGCGGUGGAGUAUGUGGUUUAAUUCGAUGCAACGCGAAGAACCUUACCAGGGUUUGACAUCCUGCGAAUCUCUUGGAAACGAGAGAGUGCCUUCGGGAACGCAGUGACAGGUGGUGCAUGGCUGUCGUCAGCUCGUGUCGUGAGAUGUUGGGUUAAGUCCCGCAACGAGCGCAACCCACGUCUUUAGUUGCCAGCAUUUAGUUGGGCACUCUAGAGAGACCGCCGGUGAUAAACCGGAGGAAGGUGUGGAUGACGUCAAGUCAUCAUGCCCCUUACAUCCUGGGCUACACACGUACUACAAUGCUACGGACAAAGGGCAGCAAGUUCGCGAGGACAAGCAAAUCCCAUAAACCGUGGCUCAGUUCAGAUCGUAGGCUGCAACUCGCCUACGUGAAGGAGGAAUCGCUAGUAAUCGCAGGUCAGCAUACUGCGGUGAAUACGUUCCCGGGCCUUGUACACACCGCCCGUCACACCAUGGAAGUUGGCCACGCCCGAAGCCGUUACUCCAACCCUCGGGAGGAGGACGUCGAAGGUGGGGCUGAUGACUGGGGUGAAGUCGUAACAAGGUAACCGUA